rnacentral:lncRNA from 1 species
AUUUGACAGCACCUUGGUCAUGAGAAGAAACAGUUAAUGUGUUUUGUUGUCUUUGACAGCACCUUGGUCAUGAGAAGAAACUCACCAAACCUUUUCGAAGGAAAUCGAUCGGUUCAACGGAUUCCGCUAAGGGGAGCAACCAACAACGUCACAAUCGGGUCCCGAUGUUCCCUACUAGCAACCUCUCUGCCCAUCCACUGAUUCCACAAGGUUGCCAUGGUGCUGUAUGUAGUAUUUUCUGACUCUUGGUAUGGAUGCGCCCUUCUUCAAACAAAGAAAAUGACCAGUGGUGCUGAAUUCUUUGUAAGACUGAGUUAUGAACCACCCUGCACCACUUGCACCAGGAUGUUCACCAGAAACCCGUGCCUCCUGCUGCUAAGCCAGAAACAGAUACAGCGGAUGUUGUGCGACUUAAAUGAUACUAAUGUUUAAGUACCACUGACUUAUCAGAGUUAUGCAAGACACGAGUUGUUUGAGACAGUCAGUUUCCUUGGUCUGCUACAUCUAGUGGUAAAUAGAGUACCUGCACAGGUGGGGGGGGGGGGGUUGCAAUUGUUUCCACUGUGAACUGCUUUGGUAACUUACUGCUACAUCCACGUUAUUAUACCGUUGGAGAAAAAAACACUUUGAUUUCUUUUUUUCUUUUCUUUUUUAAGUAACCGUAGAAUGUCAUGCAGUUCUCUGGAAACUGAUAUGUCACUAAAAAUCAAUGUACACACACAGUUAUGGUGCGCUUUUGUUUUUCCGAAUGGUGAUGUACGCGCACAACAUAUCACUUAUUAGUCGAUGUGUGAUUGGAUGCUUGAUACAAAACUACUUGCCCUUAUAUGGAAGUAGCUCUAAGGUAUUUCAAUGCGAUGUUUCGUGUUAAUCCUUCCACGUUUAUAAUAGGUUUCCGUAACAAAUUAUUCUUCAUUACUGAAGGCAGCUGGAUUGUUUGAAAGUAGAUUUAUUUAUUAAUAUAAUUCAGGUCUCUUUUUUUUUCUGACAACAUAAAACAAGUGUUUAAUUAUUUUAUAAAACGUUGGUAAUAUUUCCGAGAAACGACCGAAAAAGAAAUUUGAAGCUAACUCAAAAGUAAUGUUUAGUAGAUGUUGCUUUUAACCAAUAAUUAAUAUAUAUAUAUAUGAAUAUUUCAUAGUGUCAUAUGUUCUAGCUUCUCAUAAAGAUCGUGACUUCAAAACUCAUUGGUGGAAUUAAAAGCAGUUAAACGUAUAAAAGAUCAUAAUGCUUCUAAUAUUUGCUGACAUCUCGAGAACAGCAAAAUGUUUCGAAUGUAUGCUAGCACCUCGUGAUAAGUAUAACCCUUACCACAUCUUCCAGCACCUCGAAGUCAACUCUCCCAAAAUCUGUCAGCACCUAGAGAUAAGCAUAACGUUUCUAAAAUAUUCCAGUCCCUAGAGAUCAGUAUAACGUUUCUAAAAUCUGCCAGCACCUAGAGAUAAGUAUAACGUUUCUAAAAUAUUCCAGCACCUAGAGAUAAGUAUAACGUUUCUAAAAUAUUCCAGCCCCUAGAGAUCAGUAUAACGUUUCUAAAAUCUGCCAGCACCUAGAGAUAAGUAUAACGUUUCUAAAAACCUGUACAGCACCUAGAGAUAAGUAUAACGUUUCGAAAAAUCUGUCAGCACCUAGAGAUAAGCAUAACGUUUCUAAAAAUCUGCUAGCACCUAGAGAUAAGUAUAACGUUUCUAAAAAUCUGUCAGCACCUAGAGAUAAGCAUAACGUUUUUAAAAAUCUGCCAGCACCUAGAGAUAAGUAUAACGUUUCUAAAAACCUGCCAGCACCUAGAGAUAAGUAUAACGUUUCUAAAAACCUGCCAGCACCUAGAGAUAAGCAUAACGUUUCUAAAAUCUAUAAGCACGUGAAGAAUAGAAUAACUCUCCUAAAAUAUGCUAGCACCACCUCGAGAACAGCGUAAUGCUUUCAAAAUCUUUCAGCACCUACAGAAAAGCAAAACGCUUUAAAAUCUUCCAUUUCCUUGAGAACAGUAUAACAUUCGCAAAAUCUUCCAUCAUCUUGAGAUUAGCAAAUCGCUUCUAAAACCUGUCAGCACUUGGAGAUCAGCUAAGUAAAUCUUGUAUACACUACCAGCUGUGGGAGUUUUGACACGAUGCUCCUAACUGCCCCACAGCAGGAUUAUACACGUAUAGUAAAUAAACUGUUGUUAUGGCGAUCAGAAGCGAGCCUAAACCAGUCGAUGAAAAUUCUGCUAGCAAUUGGAAACGUCAUUUCUGUACCGCAGCAAAUGGAUAAAUCUCGUUUUCCUAUUACUUUCGUCCUAAGCCUACGUAGCGAAAUAUUUAUCAACGCCAGACUACGUUGUUCAAGAAACUGUUUUUAGGAACUCAAUGAUGUUUGUGUAAUUAUAUAACUGUGAAGUAAAAAAAAAAAAAAACAAAAGUUCUAAGUGUUCACUUUGGCCUCUGAAAUACUUGUACUAGAUAUUCAGUUGUAAAGAAGUUGACGUUACUGGCACAAGUUCAUUACACGGGUUAAGAAUCGGCUUAUCAAUCGCCUUUGUACACUUUCUUUCUAAAUAUAACUAGUAAGAAAAAAAAACUUUAAUUAAAAUUAUGUAGGGAAUACUCACCAAUAACAUUUGUGAGAAGCUACAGAACUGCAUUCAGUCUUAAUAGAUAUUUCGUGAAGAUUACAACCGUGUAAUAAUUUACUUUAGCAUGCGCCCCCUUAAGUUACUGAUUGUCAAGAAUUUUAUAUUUAUUUAUGAAUAAGUACUGAACAUUUAUAAAGGUUAUAUGUAUAAAUAGCUUUGUGUAAGUCGAUAAUAUUAAGAAAUAUAUUAUUUUAUAGGUCGUCCUUCAUGUGGAGAAAACAUAUAUAUAUAUAUACUUUUAGAAAGUAAAUUAUAUUCGUGUCGCGUGAUUCUACGUUAAUGAUAGCACAUAAUAACUGAAUGUCAAAUCGUGACAAAUAAUGAGUCAAAUUCCACUUUAAUUUUCUAAUAGGUACUAGAAAGAGUAUUAAAAUGUUUUAAUUAUUGUUGAUAGUACUUUAAAGCUACUGUUACUGUUAAUUAGUAUACUUCAGGAGACUUCCUUAUCUUCAGAAUUAUUAAUGCAAAUGUAUUAACUUCAAUUUUUAUUUUGUUAAAUAUAAUUAAAGAAUGUUAUCAAACUUUACAGAAUUUACUCCAUCAGUCUCUUCUAUAUAGCAUGUUUGACCGACGUGUGUAUGAAUAUUUAUAAGGAAGCUUGUAAUUUAGUUAGCAAAUAGCAAUUCUAAACAGAAUAUCUGUUAAUAUUUCAAUUCUAGACACAAGAAUCGGGUAAAUAUUGAUGUAAUUUCAGAAAGAACUUGUAACAUGCCUGAUUUUGUUCUCUUGGGUUUUUAAAAACGUAAAAACAUAUCUUUUUUUUUUACAUAUGUAUAUUGGCUUACUUUGUUGCCUUGGGAACAAGAAUGAGGCUAUUGCUGGUCACGUGUCACGAUGCACUGACAGGAGAGGAGGCCAUUAAUAUUAUUUUAUAACAUAUAACUUUGUAUGCAUACAAAACAUAAUGUGUGGGAGUCACCUAAUCUUAUUUGUUUUGUAUUGCAGAAAAUUGUUGAAAUAUUAAUUAUUUCAAAAGCCGCAAUCAUAACAUAAAUGUAGCUAUUGUUUGUAUUCAUUUCAUUUCUAAAGUAUGGGUGCAAAUGCACGUUUUCGUUAAACAAAAUGGCCUUUUAUUAAGCCAGAUGCAGUACAUCAGAUUUUCUGUGUAAUGGUUUAAAACACAGCAUAUUAAAUGUAACCAUAAUAAAAAUACACAAUAAUCCUCCUAUAAUCGAUGCUCGUGUUCAAAUUUACGUUCCUCAAACCCCUGCUUUUCUUUUGUUGUUUUACAAUAUGGUCACACUUAAACGUUUAAUUUCACUCUUUUUUCCCUUUUUGGACAGUAUGAUUUCGUCAAUUUUUGGUCAGGAUAGUUUUAUUUCAUCUAACAGUUUUUUCAUAGUAUAGUUUCGUAUAAACGUUAUUUUGUUUUAAGAUGAUAUCGUUUCGUAUAAACGUUAUUUUUUUUUUGGGGUCAAUAUGGUUUCAUCUAAUAGUUGUUUUGGUUUUGGACAGUAUGAUUCAUAUAAACGUUGUUUUGUUUUUUUUGGACAAUAUGAUUUCAUUUCAUCUAAUCGUUCUCAUCCUUUGUUUGCUUCUUGCUGGUUUUUACAAAAGGUUUCAUAUAACAGUUCUUUUUGGGUGAUGUUUUUUGGAGAUAUUUUUCUGGAUUGUUUCAAGGCAAUAUGCAUUUAUAUUACCGUUACUUCUUGUAUUCCUUCGCAUCUGUACUGUGUUAUUGUAUGAAUGUGUGUGUGCUCUAUUUCCGUCAAAAUAUUAGAAUUUGAUUCGAAAUUCGUUUCAUUUAAAAGAGCAUUCUCGCGACUAAAUUUUUGAUUCUUGGAAAAAGGUCAGUUGACCUACUUUGUAAUGCUGUUAAAUUAGUCUUUACUUAAAAAGUUUUGCUUGUACGCAGCAUUUUCAAUCAGAAACUAACUUUACAUCUUUGUUCCUUCUGAUCAUCGAAGAAAAAAACGUGCUGAAAGAAAGUCAGUAAAGGAUUUUUUCGGUUUAUAAGUAAACUAUUUCCUAGCGCAUCCGUUUGCCAUUAAAAUAUGCAUUACACAGAUAUCGCGUUUAACUAAAACAUAUAUUCCACGUUGAAAGAAAACUUUAGAUGUCGAUAUUCUAGUGUUUCAUUGAAUGUUCUAUUGUGAUGAUGUUUCAUAGAUAAGAAAGUUUCGGGGGAGCAUAUAAUCAGUUCUGUUGCAUUAGAUAAAACAAAAUUGUGCUUAAAAUUUAUCUUGAAAUUUUUGCGUGUACAAAAGCAAUUUAAAACCCGCUGUACCCCCCCCCCCCAAUCUAUCAGAGCCAUUGAAACAUGAUGCUAUCCGCUAGCUAACGGCACUGUUUAACUGUACUUCCCCACAGACGAUUCAUUGUUCUCUGAUCCUUAAGGUCUGAGCAGGAGCUUAUGUGUAACUGUUCUUUAGAGCCUACUAGAAUCAGACACAUCAGAACGUAUUUUUUCAACACAGUUUACCCUUUACUGGCAGGAUAAGUUUUAUCAGUUAAAACGUCACACAACUUGCUAAAACGUAUCCUUGUGGAAGGAUGCAUGAAAAAAAACCAACUGGUUGUUUAGUUUUCAGAAAAAAAGAAUCGAUCCCAAAUGGUUCUUGGAUAAAUAUAUUUGUAUCACACGAGGUACCAUGAUGACGUUUGAAUAUUAUACUAUCACUGUAAAUUUUUUCAAAAACAAGUGUCCCAUGCUAUUAAAGUUAACAUGAAAAGUAUAGUAGAAUAACCCUAGAAGACAAGCUCAAUUGGCGUUCUAUAUAAGAUAUCAUUGUGAUAAGUGGUGGGUUUAUAGAAGUUGAUGAAACUCUAUAUGAUUGGUCUUCAUAACAACAAUCGUUUAUAGAAGUUGAUGGAAUGCUUUAUAUGGUUGGCCUUUAUUACAACAAUCGUUUAUAGAAGUUCAUAAGACGCUUUAUAUGGUUGGCCUUUAUUACAACAAUCGUUUAUAGAAGUUGAUGAAACGCUUUAUAUGGUUGGCCUUUAUUACAACAAUCGUUUAUAUAAUUUGGUGAAACGUUCUAUGUGAUUGGUCCUCAUUACAACAAUCGUUUAUAGAAGUUGAUGAAGCGCUCUAUGUGAUUGGCUUUCAUUACAACAAUCGUUUAUAGAAGUUGAUGAAACGCUCUAUAUGAUUGGCUUUCAUUACAACAAUCGUUUAUAGAAGUUGAUGAAACACUCUAUAUGAUUGGCUUUCAUUACAACAAUCGUAUAUUAUUUCUAAUCUUGCACUGUCUUAUUCCGAUUAUUUUAGAGACUCCCGAUUGCAUUUUUAAGGGUUAUUCGUUGGUUUGUUUUGUAUUUAAUCCAAAAAUGUUGAGCUAGUUCUUUCAAAAAACAAUUUUCUUAACUCUAAGUUCAUGAAAUUAGCUAAUAUUCCAAUCUUAUAUCAAUUACUAAUAUCUUUAAGUAUCAUUUUAGGACCAUAAACAAUGACACUUGAGGCCCAACUAGACAUAUUAUGCUACCCUAUGGGUUUUAACAUAUUUAACUCGACAGUAAAAGGCAGUAGAUAUUUGUAUCAAACCCAUGUCAACACCAAUAGUUGUUAUAAUGUGAUGUUCCUCCACAGUUGACGAAGGAGAUCUUUCUUGUUUGAUUCUUAGAAGCAUGUGGCCUCAGUCGAAACAACACUACGAAUGUUAAAGUGUAACCAGUCUUUCCGAGUAUAGAUUUUUCUUGUUAUAUUUUUUGCGUGUUUAGUGAAUAUCUGGGAAACCUAAACAUCACCUUUGACUCUCUUUGACUAUUUUUCCUAAAGUACAUGCACGUUAUAUGGGUAUUUUGGGUAAAUAAGCUUGAUUUAUCUUAUUAGGUUACGUGUACAGCUCAAAGCGCCCCUUAUCUUGUUAACAAGGAAGGACUUUUUUAUUAAGUUUACAGAACCAAACAGUAAUUACGCCGUUUGAAGUUAGUAUUUGGCAAAGCUGAAGUCCAAGCCAUUUCGUUUGGCCGCGUAUCAGAGCUUAGAAAUAAAUUAAUCAAGUUAAUUCAAACAGCUUCCUAUUUCCAGAGAUAAAAGUGGUUAGAUGUAGAUAAACAAAUUUGUGGGUGAAGUCUAAAAGAGGCCGUCAAAUGAAAAAGGAUGGCACAAUAGGCAUUAAUAGCCUGUAAUUGUAUUUUGAAGAAUUCGAGCAUACAUACACACGCGAAUGAACUUUAAAAAAGGGAUUAUUGUAAUAUAAUCGCUUUUUUCUAAACAGCUAGAUGAAGUUUUAAAAUAAAAUAAAAACUAAAUGUAUAAAUAACUUUAACAAUAUAGCUGUUAUAUCGUUACCGCCAUAAAACACUCCCUCUUUUGUACCUGCAUUAGCAAAAUUGUGCAUUUCAGUUAUAAAAGAAAAACUUGUCAUUUUGAUGGUUAAUUAAAAGAUUAUUGUCUCUCUAGUUAAAUUUUAAAGUAAUUCUAAUAUAUAAACAGGUUAAUACUUUAACAGAUAUUUGAAAGCGAAUAAAAAAAUACUUCUAAAUGUAUAAACUUUUCCUGUUAAUUUUAGAUAAUCCAAAACUAUCCAUACCAACAAUGGCGUGUGUCUCAUUUGAUUAAAAUUGUUAUUGCCAUUAGCGUCAUUGAAAUGUUUAUAGAUUUCAGAGAUGGGAAGUCUGCUCGAUGGGACUUUUCUUUGAAUUUGAACUGAAUUCCGAUAAAAAGUCGCGAGAAAGUAAAAGUUGUGACCUUCUGGAUAUUUCAGCCACCGUGUUAAGUGGUAAAUCCUAGAAUUUUAAAUAUUACAUUAUUUCGGUUUUCUUACUAUAUAGUCUUCAGACUGUUAGAAAAGAAGAAAAGGUAAAAGGAAAUAAAAAUUAUUUUGAUGAAUCUUGUGUGGUAAAUACUUUGUAUUUGCUAUGGUGCUAGAAUUGACCUGCCGGGGAAAUACAAGUCUUUAAUAUAAACUUCAUUAAUAUUAUUGUUUUCAUAUGAAUAUUUGUGACGUUAUCGUCAGGGGUAUGAUAUUGUGCCUUUUCAAAGGGAACAACAACAAAAAAACGAAACUUGACUGUUUCGACUCUUUGUUUUCUAGCUGUACUUUCAAUCAAAGACACAUUUUUAUUUCAUAGCCGUACUUUCGACACAAUGCUUAACUGUUUCACCUCUUUGUUUCUUAACCUUACUUUCAACAAAAGACUUAACUGUUUUAACUCUGUUUCUUAACCAUGCUUUCAGCUCAAGACUUAACUGUUUCACUUAUUCGUUUUAUAGCCGUACUUUCAACAAAAAAGACUUAACCGUUUCACUUAUUCGUUUUAUAGCCGUACUUUCAACAAAAGACUUAACCGUUUCACUUAUUCGUUUUAUAGCCGUACUUUCAACAAAGACUUAACUGUUUCGACUCUGUUUCUUAACCGUGCUUUCAGCUCAAGACUUAACCGUUUCACUUCUUCGUUUUAUAGCCGUACUUUCAACAAAAGACUUAACCGUUUCACUUAUUCGUUUUAUAGCCGUAAUUUCAACAAAAGACUUAACAAUUUCAAUUAUUCGUUUUAUAACCGUACUUUUAACCAAAUACUUAACCAUUUCAACUCUUCGUUUUAUAGCCUUAUUUUCAACCAAAGACUUAACCGUUUCACUUAUUCGUUUUAUAGCUGUACUUUCAACCAAACAUUUAACCGUUUCGACUCUUCGUUUUAUAUCAUUACUUUCAACCAACGACUUAACUGUUUCGUUUCCAGUGGAGUAAGAACAGUGGGAGCUAGAGCUCCUAAUAAUUUUUCAAAUGGCCAAUUUAUGUUUUGCCGUUCUCCCCUCAUGUUUCAAAAAUCAUUUUGUUGUUCAGAAAAAUGCCGGUUUGUGAACGGUUAAAGAGCCACUGUUACUCCCCCAAUGUUAAACGUCCUCCUACUCCACUGGAUUAUUAUCCGGACUUUCAUCCAUAACCUUAACUGUACCACAGAUUUGCUUCUUAGCAGUACUUCUAUAGAGAAAACUGAUUCUUUUAUUUUCUUUUUACUUGGUCAUUUUUUCGUCUUUAGGUUUAUAAACAGAAAUAGCUGUAAUCUACAAGUGAUGGACUGAUAUUUAGGAAUGCUUGUAGAUUAUAAAUCUGCAUUCAUAUACCUGGCCUUUAUCUGUAGUUCGUUAUGUAAAUGUUUUCCUAUACAAAAUAAUGCUAACCAGUACAAGUUAUUUUCUAAAUAAGCUGAGAUAGAUUGUUCUCCCCUUAGUGUUUGAAAUAUAGAUAAGUUCUUCUCUAGUGUGCAACUGAUUGAAAAAAAAAAAUGUUUAAGUUGAUUUUUAUUUGCUGGAAAUAUAUAUAUAUGUAUAUGCAAUGAUGGUUUGGUUAAGAAAUUAUUUUUUCGUGUGGUUAAUAUUUCUAUCAAAUAGUUAAUAGUUGAAAAUAAUAAUAAUAUAUAUCCACGAGUACAAAGAAAUGUCACCAGUUUUGUAUUACUCGAGAUACGCCCCUUUUUUUCUGGACAAGUACAAGAAGUCUUAAUCCAUAAAACUGCUUUAAAGUUUAAGACUCUCAGUGUUACAACAUUAAUGACUUCGCUAUUUUUAUGCUUAUGGCAAGAGCUUUAAUAAAAGGUAAAUUGAAUAUGAUGCCCGGAUGUCAAGUGCUGAUAUUUCAGAAUAUUAGGGUUCUUAGUCAGUGACUUCAUCUUUGUAGAAUCUGGGAUCGAAAUGUUCAAGUUGUAAAGAUGUGGUUCAGGCAUAGUACUUUCUUUAAAAUAAGUCGGGAUUUUGUGCUCCACGUGAAAAACGCUGUUAAACUCGCUUCUUGUGAACAACGCUGUUUAACUCGCUUCUUGUGAACAACGCUGUUUAACACGCUUCAUUUGAACAACGCUGUUUAACAAGCCCCAUGUAAACAACACUGUUUAACAACCUUCAUGUGAACGACGCUGUUUAACUCGCACCAUGUAAACACUGUUUAACAAGCUUCAUGUGAACAACACUGUUUAACUAGCUUCAUGUGAACAACACUGUUUAACAAGCUCAGUGUGAAAAACGCUUUUUAACAAGCUCAGUGUGAACAACGCUGUUUAACAAGCUCUGUGUGAACAACGCUGUUUAAUGUGCUCGAUGUAAACAACGCUGUUUAACUAGCCCCAUGUGAACAACGCUGUUUAACAAGCUCAGUGUGAAAAACGCUGUUUAACAAGCUUCGUGUGAACAAUGCUGUUUAACAAGCUCCAUGUAAACAACACUGUUUAACUAGCCCCAUGUGAACAACGCUGUUUAACAAGCUCAGUGUGAAAAACGCUUUUUAACAAGCUCAGUGUGAACAACGCUGUUUAACAAGCUUCGUGUGAACAAUGCUGUUUAACAAGCUCCAUGUAAACAACACUGUUUAACUAGCCCCAUGUGAACAACGCUGUUUAACUAGCCUCAUGUGAACAACGCUGUUUAAUGCGCUCUGUGUAAACAAUGCUGUCUAACUAGCCCCAUGUUUAAAUAGCUCCAUGUGAAUAACGCUGGUUAACCUGUUCUGUCUAAACAACUCUGUUUAGUUAGCUUCUUGUGAACAACGCUGUAUAAAUUGCUCCGUGUAAACAACGCUGUUUAGCUCUUCUGAGGAUUGCUCUUGAUAUCAAAUGAGUAAAAUUAGUCUAUUGGCACGUGAAACGUGCCACCAAUCAGAACUAAGACAAGGUUAGAACAGAUUACACCUGAGCUUUAAGGUUACUGACUGUUUCAUCAUUCCAGAUUACACCAGAGCCUUAAGAGUCGAGAUGGUUACUAACUGUUUCAUUCCUGAUUCAUAUCGGAGUUCUGUUUAAAAUAUUAGUUUCUGAAUGUGAUCCGUAGUAACGUUUAGUAUGCGCUCAUUCCUCCAGUACAUGUGUGUGUGUGUGUGCGUGAUUGACACGUAACGUAUGGUUUGCUGCUGUCACGUAAUUCACUAGUAAAUACACUAUUAAUAGUUUGUGACGAUGAUUGUGUUUCAAUAUUUCCUGUUUGUUAUACGGACUAUAAUUUAAUACUCUAACUUUAUUAUAGUAUGAAAUUACGUUCUUUAACAUUCAUUUUUAAACUACCUUUAAAUGUACUUGUGACAUUCACUGUACAGCAUAUCUGUAUAUAUAUAUAUUUAUUUAUUUAUUUAUAUUGCCAAAACUAAAAUGAUUGAUAGUAUAAUUUAAGUUCAAUGCGAGUUGAAGCGAUUUACCUACGUCAUCUCAAACUAGAUUUUGUCCCACGAGGCUCACGUGACGGUGUUCCAGGUAACUGGUUUAUCACACGGUAGAAUGUUUAUCCAGAGGUGUAAUUUAAAAUCCCAUUUGUAUCCAACACGGGUUUGAAAUGGAAAGCGAAAUCUUGUUGCUAUGUGAUACAACAGUAUUAUUUUUCUUCCUGAGAAAAAAAACAUAAGAGUUAUAUCAAAACUCUUAACUUUACUAUUUCUUUUUGCCGUUUGCUUAGUUCCCCUAUUUUAUUCAGUGCUUGUUUCCAUGAAAGAAUAGUUUGAUUUUGAUAUGAAAUAUUAGUACAGCCAUAAAAUGAUCUGCUGUGUCUUCUCAGAAUAUCUGUUAAAAAUGUGUUAUUGUGAUAAAAAGAAACAAAGUUUUUUAACGGUUGAUGUACAGACGUAUUAUAAGAGCAAGUGAUAAGGAAAAAAAAGUAGUUAAAUGUAUCAACUUAUUUAACAGGUAUUUAUGUGUAUUUCGAUAAGCAUUAAGACUAUCACGUGGUUAUGAGAGUUUUGAAAAAAAAUGUUGAUUAUUACAAACUGGUUACCAUUCUAACUAUGAUAUAUAUAAUACUAAGAUUUUGUUUUUUAUUAUUUUGUCAAGACCACGUUUUGGAAGGUCAUUUCUCAGCAGAAAUUAUAUAUUAGAUAUCCAAUGUGCCCUUCGAGAUUCAUAUCUAAAUGUUUUUCGGUGUAACAUGUGAUAAAGAGAAAGAUUAUUAAUCCGUAGUCUACUAUCCGGUUGAAUGGAAUUUAAAAAAAUAUUUUUUCUUUAUUCCUACUGUGGUUGAUCGCUUUGUGUUAGACUUAAAGUUAAACAUAUUGAAUUUAGAUAUAGACUUCGACUGUAAUCCUAAAUAUACACGCAAGAGACGCGAAAAUUGAGUGCUAACACCCAGAUAACCAGGUAGUUGACUACGAUUCACAUUUUUCUUAUGUCCUAACUACUGUUUUUAUAGGCGUUUGAGAGAACCUAUUUCUUCGGUAUAUGAUUGUAAGUGUCUUUGUUUGCUGUUGGGUGUACUCUUUGGUAAAUAUAAAAUACACAUCAACAUUUAAAUGGUUGGAAUUCUCAUGACCGACUGGUGCUUUAUUAAGACUAGGAUGUAUAUUUAGCGGAAACUGGUGAAUUUAAGCAUCUGUCGAAACAUGUUUUCUUUACCAAUUAGUGUUAUUUUUAUUGGUUCUUCGUUGCAUUCGAAAUCUUGGCUCUCUUCAUUUUAUACCUCUGAACUGCUAAAAGUUCCAUUGUAAAUGUUUCAAACCAGACCGGAUUGUGUUUGUAUUAAUACCGUGCCAAACAGUCUGAGAUUAUUCUUAUUUUUAGUUCAGGAUUAUUUUAAAGUUUCCAACAUUCCAGUACAUUUAUGGGUACCUUUGAUGCUGAUAUCUUUUUUAUGCAACUUGUAAUUUAUGAUUCUUGUUUUCGAUAAAGGUUUAUCGACUAGCAUUCAA